GAUGAACGCUGGCGGCGUGCCUAAUACAUGCAAGUCGAGCGAACAGACGAGGAGCUUGCUCCUCUGACGUUAGCGGCGGACGGGUGAGUAACACGUGGAUAACCUACCUAUAAGACUGGGAUAACUUCGGGAAACCGGAGCUAAUACCGGAUAAUAUAUUGAACCGCAUGGUUCAAUAGUGAAAGACGGUUUUGCUGUCACUUAUAGAUGGAUCCGCGCCGCAUUAGCUAGUUGGUAAGGUAACGGCUUACCAAGGCAACGAUGCGUAGCCGACCUGAGAGGGUGAUCGGCCACACUGGAACUGAGACACGGUCCAGACUCCUACGGGAGGCAGCAGUAGGGAAUCUUCUGCAGUGGGCGAAAGCCUGACGGAGCAGCGCCGCGUGAGUGAUGAAGGUCUUCGGAUCGUAAAACUCUGUUAUUAGGGAAGAACAAAUGUGGAAGUAACUAUGCACGUCUUGACGGUACCUAAUCAGAAAGCCACGGCUAACUACGUG
rnacentral:rRNA from 1 species